rnacentral:tRNA from 1 species
UCGCGCGGUAGGCGGGCCAGAGGGCCAGCAUUCCGACUGCGAAGAUCGCCGCGCCGGUCAGCCCGACGUUCAGCCGCGUCGUGCGCGAA